UUAAGUACCAAAACUUCUUUCCCUUUUUGCUGGAAAGUCCCUUCUCUCUUCAAUAACCAUCCUCUUUCUUCAAGUGCUAGGACCAAUUUGGCAACCCUCCAUCAUUUUAUUAUGCUGAGUAGUCCAACUCUUUUUUAUCUUUUUUCUGUCUUCCAGACGAGGCCCUGGGGACCACCCUUCCUAAAGCAAAAGGGAAGGGAUGCAUCUGUCAUUUUCCUCUGUGCUUUGGCCUGUGUGACGAUGGGACAGUUAUAGAGCCAUUGUAGUGAGAGUUUCUGCUGCUUCCGUCCUCCUGGCCAGAGGGAGGUGAACCGGAAUGGAACCCACUGAUCAGCUUGUCUACGUUUCUGUAGACUAAGAUUUGUACCUGCAACUGUCUCAUGCUAAAUGGUAAAUAUUUUUCUUCCAGUUGAUUUGCCUGGGGUUCUCAUUAACUUUCUAGAAGAGUUUGGAUAGAACUCUUGGAUAUUUAAUGUCACAAGUUUUAGUUCUGAUCUUGCCUUUUGGGCUCAAUGUUGCAUUCCCAUAACUCUCCAAAUUACUGAAAAACAAUUAUUGGAAUAACCCAAGUUUGCAUGAAGAGUAAACACAGCAAAGAGUUGGAAAAACAGCAUAUGGUGGGUCAUGGCCAAAUCUGCCCAUGGAAAGCCCCCAAGUGGAUGUGGGUAGAAAAUUCUUAGAUCCUGCAAUGUAAGUACAGAUAAAGGGAGGUUGCUUAAUAUGGAGCACUGGCACAGAAAAAAAGAAUGAUUUUAUGUAAACGUUGUGCAGUAAGUUCCUUAGAACCCCAAACCUGGGCAUAGGCCUGGGGGAUGUGGCUUAUUGGGUUAAAGAAAGAUUGUCUGAAACGGUGAUACACAUCAUGCUAGGGGCUGGCAUGCCCUUUCUGGGGGGAGAGGAGCCUUUGUUCUGGGCUUCUGGGGCCUCCUAGAUUCCUCAUCCUGAGAGCGGCUGCCAACAGCCACCGGGUGUGUCCAGUUUAGGAACAAAAGGGGAACUCUGGCAGGCUGGCUGCUAUGCUGUAUUUGUGGUCAUUAUUAUUAUUAUUAUUAUUAUUUUUUUGAGAUGGAGUUUUGCUCUUAU